rnacentral:rRNA from 1 species
CCUACGGGGGGCAGCAGUGAGGAAUAUUGGUCAAUGGGCGCGAGCCUGAACCAGCCAAGUAGCGUGAAGGAUGACUGCCCUACGGGUUGUAAACUUCUUUUAUAAAGGAAUAAAGUGAGGCACGUGUGCCUUUUUGUAUGUACUUUAUGAAUAAGGAUCGGCUAACUCCGUGCCAUCAGCCGCGGUAAUACGGAGGAUCCGAGCGUUAUCCGGAUUUAUUGGGUUUAAAGGGAGCGUAGAUGGGUUGUUAAGUCAGUUGUGAAAGUUUGCGGCUCAACCGUAAAAUUGCAAUUGAUACUGGCAGUCUUGAGUACAGUUGAGGUAGGCGGAAUUCGUGGUGUAGCGGUGAAAUGCUUAGAUAUCACGAAGAACCCCGAUUGCGAAGGCAGCUUACUAAACUGUGACUGACAUUGAUGCUCGAAAGUGUGGGUAUCAAACAGGAUUAGAUACCCCAGUAGUC